rnacentral:rRNA from 1 species
CGCGCAGGCGGUUAUACAAGCCUGGUGUGAAAGAUCGCAGCUCAACUGCGGGACCGCACUGGGAACUGUAUGACUGGAGUUCAAGAGGGGAAGCUGGAAUUCCUGGUGUAGGGGUGAAAUCUGUAGAUAUCAGGAAGAACAUCAGUGGCGAAGGCGAGCUUCUGGCUAUGAACUGACGCUGAGGCGCGAAAGCGUGUGGAGCAAACAGGAUUAGAUACCCUGGUAGUCC